rnacentral:lncRNA from 1 species
UAGCAGGAUUAGAAAACACAAGAUAAAUAUAAAAAUUCAGGUCUACGUAUACUUGCUAUAAAUGGAGAAUUGGAUAUUGAAAUUGAAAAGUUAUGUAGGAGUACAAAGGACCUCAUCUGUGCUGGGGGGGGGGGAUUAUGGCGGCCCAGAAGCCCCAACAUAUUUAAGCUGUAUUUUAACUCUUAGUGACUGUCUCUGUGAGGCCCAUCCCAAUAAAGACAGCUCAUCUAGCACCUCUCCCUCUUUGGCCUCCAGAUCUGAUUUUGAGGUGGUUAAUGGCUUUAUAUUUUCAAGUGCCAUGAGCCUAUUUGAAUCAUUCAAACAUGCCACUGUGCCACUGUCCAAGCUCAACACGCGGGCAUGAGUUUUAGCACUAUUUGUAUUGGAAGGCCGUCAUGUGGCCUGCUUUUUGCUGGUUCCUUCAGGACCCAGAUGUGCUCUAUGUGUGUGUUCCAAGUCUGUCCCCCUUUCCUUAUGAACAUGUUUGGUCUUCAGAGCACUGUAUCUGCCCUCAGGAGACUGUCAUGCAUGAGAAGUGGUGCUGGGAGAGCUAUCACUGCUGAACUGUCGAGCAGACUUAACACUUGAUACUCUGCUCAAGUCACUUUGAUCACUAGAGUCCUCAUCAUGACAAAAUAUAGCACUAUGUGGUUUGGUUCUGGAAACAGUUCGAAAAGAAACAUAGUCCCUGUACCGGCUCGAAUCAAAACUGCCGGCCCGUUUCUUUCCUGUCCGUCUCCGGCCUGACUUAUGGGCAGAGGCUGUCCUGUGGAUUAAGCUAGAGGGUUUGGGUUGAACAUCCCCUUCCUUCUGCUUUCCACCAGUGUCUUUACAAACUUUUGAAUCCACCACAACACUGGUCUUCCCAUUCUGCUCCUCUUUGUUUUCAGCAGUUUUCUCAGGUGGUCUGUUCCUUGGUGCAGGAAACUCAUUUGUGUGGGGGUUUUUAUUAGCUUCUUCAGAUGCAGAGGUGCUAAUUCUCCUCUGAUUGUGUAUCUCAUCAGAGGCUUGAGAAUCCUGGGCUCAGGAGCCCCACUCUUUGAACUCACUUCUAGGACAGUUUUGUCACUAUUAGUCCUUUUAUCACUGGCACAGCUACUCAUCUCCUCUGGGUCAGGACAGGACUCUUUUGGUACUGGGGAUCGAACUCAGGUCAGCAGGAGGUGAAACCACUGAGCUAAAUCCCAGGCCCAAGGACAGGACUCUUUAUUCCCAGUGCUUCUCUUUCCUACUUCAGGAGACUCCUCGCGCUCUGACAAGAUGCUCUCUCUGUGAGUGGAGCUGGUCUGCUCGCUUUUAUAGCUGCUGACAGUACUGUUGGUGUCACGGUCUGUCCCACUGCAGUAGCUCUCUAUUGAUCUGCUACUCCGUGUGCUGAGGCUGUCCAUGUGUUUGUCAGCAUUCAAUGCUUUGUUCUUCCCACUUUUUGUGGGUGGCUGAGAAUUAUUGUUUUUCAGGUCAUCAGCAUGCUGCAGUUCCCCUGGUAGACAAGAACUGUCCACCAAGGAUCCUUUAGACCCAGAAUGAGGCUUAGAAGAUUCUAACUCAGUAACUGGAUCUAACCCACAUCUUUGCUGAUAAAGAGAGAAGUCAUUCAGUAAUGUGUCAGGAAAAGCCACAGCAGAGCUAGAAGUCUGUGGUAUACUUCGUGGCCAGUGAUCUUUCCUACAACAGUGUGAAUGUAAAGAGACUGGAGCUCUGGCCCAGACUUAAACUGAUAUCAUCAGAAGUCUUAGCAGUAUCUGUAUCUCUUUUAAUAACUGCUGCUGUUCCAAGACGAGAGGAACCAGAUCCAAUCUGAUUGCUUGGAUCUAGGCCAGUGUAAGAAUUUUUUGAGCUGCAACGAACUGGAGGUAUAGUCUCUCGAAUGAACUCAGGCAUUUCAAUCCCUCCAACAGGAUCCCUGGAAAGUAUAGUAGUUCACAAUUCUCACAGAAGCAAAUGGUCUACUGCAGUAAGCAAUACACCAAAUUCAGGGAAUCUCUACCUUUAUGCCUUAAUUUCCCCAUCUUGGUGCAUUGCUGUCUUUUCUCCUGGUUGAACAGUUGGUCUUGUCCAGCUUUGGGUCGCUGAUCUGUAAAUUCAUUUGUGUUCCAAUCUAUGACUUCUCCAGCAUCAAGUGCUCUGUGUAGUCGACAGCUGACCAUCUUCAGAACAAUGAAGACAGCAGCUACCACCGGACAAUAAACUCCUACUAUAAUCAUGGAAAAUGGAAGGGCCAUGUAGAGGGUGAAGGGCAGGCGAGCAGAAAGAACGCACAGGUAGAGUUGCAGCGUGUUCACAAAGGUGGCCCGAUGCGAUGCGGGUCGGGUCGUAGUACCAGCCCCCCACUGAGCGUGGCGCACACCCGCUGCCGGAGGAUCUGCAGCCUCUGCGACCUCAUCCACACUCGGCGCUGCAGCCGUGGCCGCCACUGCCACCGCCACUAUCAGCUGGCGCGUGCCCGCCGGCCGCCAGCUUGGGCCUGGGAGCUGGUGACCCGGCGCCCGGCAGGGACACGGGGCUGUGAAACAAUUUUGAAAGGCUCUAACAUUUGUAUCGGUAGAGUCUCAGAAGAAGAGGAGAAAUAGUACAGUGCAGAAAAAAAUAUUUGAAGAGAUAUUGGCUGAAAACUCAAAUACAAUGACAAACAUAAAGCUAUAGACUCAAGAAAAUCAGAAGAGAGGACAGAAGAUGGUUUGCCCAACACAGGAAAGAAAACAGUCUCCCAUUUCUCCCACGUGCACAGGGAGUACUGUUCUUGGAACAUUGAGUGUGUGACCCAUAAUUGCCAAUGGGCUCCCAUGGGGGCCUCCAGCACCUUUUAUCUGGGUACUGCAGCAAUGAGAGAGACCUUAGAUGGUGAUAAGAAUGGAGUAGAGAAAAGAGGGGAGUCUGAGUGGAGGAAGAGUCUGGUGCCAAGUUCAGAGGGUGACUCAGUGGAAACAGAACAGAACAGGUGCUCUCAUAUUGUCUCUCCAAACACUGGAAGGGCCUGAGAUGGCAUAAGGCCUAGCCCACCACUUCACACUGUCAAACCGAAGUGUGGCACUGGGUGUGGCACUGAGUUCUGUUGGCCAGGCUGAGACAAAUAGAAGUCUGUGCAUAUAGAGAUGGUGAAUGGCUCCAGGGUCAGUGGCCUUAUGGCCAUAUAUUAGGCAAAUAAAGCCAAUGGAGGGAAGGAACAAAGAUGCCCAUGAUAUUUACCUUCCCAAAUCAAGGAGGGUGGUCAGAUCCACGGAGGCCUGCAGUGGGUCAUACCCAGGGCACAGCUUGCAACCAGGACAUACGAUUGGAUGGAGCAACAACCCUUAUAACUUCAGGGAAGCAACUGUCUUGCCCACAGGGAAAAACUGCUUGGCUGAUUGCAGUUAGACUGUAACUCCAGUGUGUGUGAAUAUUCUGAGAUAGUGCUGUAACUGUGUAAAGGUUUUAUUUUUAUUUCUAGUUUUAUUUUGGUUGGUAUAAUCAUUGUCUUGUUGCUUCUUUGUUUUAUUUGAGUCAUUUUCUUCCUUAUUAUCCUACUAUUUGCUUUUUCUUCUUUUUUCCUCCAUUCUGGAACUUGCUUCUUUACUAAUAUUGUUCUUUUUAUCACCUCCCUCUUUUUGUCCUUCUCUCUUUUUUUUUUUUGACUCUUUUCCCUUCCUAUUCUUUUUUCUCUUGUCUGCCUCACCUACUUGCAAUUUCCCACCACCUAGCUAGUGGCAUAAAUAUGAGAGAGGCGUGGAGAAGAAUACUAGAAAAUACAAAUUAACCAGUGCCACAAAUGAAAGAGUACCACUCAAGAGCAUAUCAGGGUAAUCCUUAAGAAAAUUGGAUUUAGAGGAUGCAAGCAAAAGUACUUAGAAAUAUAUUAAUAGGUUCUGACAAUCUCACAGCCUCUCUCAAUCUCUAAAUACACUUUCACUCAUCCACAUACCUCCUCCUGGUUUCACAAACAAUCUCCUGAGCCUCCUCAAAGCUAGCCCUUUGUUCCAGCUAUGGAAAUAAUUCCAACAGAAUCCAACUUCCUGUCUAUUUUUACCUACUGAUAUUUCUCUUACCUUCCUCCAUUCCCAUUGACAUGCUCCUUUUCCCCCUUUCCUGUCCCCUUCCCUCACCCUACAUAUCCAGAUGAAUCCCAAAUGGCAGUAUAAUAUAGUCCGUAAGGGAUAUUGACAGAAAGGCAAAAUUAUCAAAACAAGUGUAAAGUUUAUGAUUAUUGCAUGCUUGGAUCUAUUGAUGCUGCUAUAACUGACAGAAAUUCUCCCCUUACAACAUAUUAACAGAGUCCAGCCCAAUUAAAUUGAAUAGGUUGAAGUAAUAAACGAUACUGCUUGACAAAUAAGGCCAAGAACACAUUGCUGUAAAACAUACCUAAAGAGAUCCUCAUAGCAACUAAAAUCUCUCUUCAUUUUUUUUGACAUCAACCCUCAGGAUAUGCACAAAAAAAUAGGAACAUGAGAAAACAAGGCAACAAAAUGCUUCUAAAGACUCUCAAGUCUUCCAAAGCAGACCCAAGGGGCAAUGUUCGAGAGACAGGCAAAUACCAGAAAGCCAAGUUAUAUGAAAUGAUUAAAGAGGAAGGAAAGAAACUUGGGCAUUUCAAAAAGGACAUAACCCAAAAGAUAGUGAAACUAUAAAAUAUCUGAUCAAUGGUGUUUGGAGAAAGUAAUAAAAUUUGGAAGGGUUGACAAAAUGUUUCAAAACAUGAACAACAAAUUUACUAAAGAAAUACAGUCUAUAUUACAUUUUCCAAGUGCAUCCAUUUUCCCACAAAUGUGCCAAAUUUGUUGUUCUUUAUAGCCGAGUAAUAUUCCAUUAUAUAUAGAUACCACAUUUUGUUUAUCCAAUCAUCUGUUGAUGGAUGAUAUAAGUCAGAGUUAUUUGAGUCACAC